UUCGUCUUCAACAAUUAUUUUCCCUUUAUAGGGUUCAUGUUAUUCUUCAGAUUCCAUAAAGUGAAUGGGAGAUGACUUUUAACAGCGAAUAUUUUGAGUGAAUGUUUGUUCGUAUCGUUUGGACUUUCGUUCGUGUCGUUUGGACUCAAUAUCUUUAAGCCAUGUAAGCGAAAUUGAUGUUGGUGUCGUUUGGAGUGACUUGAUGUUCCUCUCAUCAAUGACCAUCUUAACUCCUUUAUCCCACUAAUGAUUCCUCAUUGAAUUCAAUGCAUCUCCCUUCACUUUCAGUCGACAUCAUCAGUAAACAAGACGAGAUGCAGCCGUUAAAGCACCGUCCGUACAACCACCACAUAAACAUUCCCUGUUGAACAAUAUUUGUACCCAAUUUCAGAUCCACAUCCGUCGACGCCAUAUCAUACCGGGAUCAUCCUGAGAAUCAUGUGCAGCGACGUUACCGAAAGAUAAGGCACGGCAUGAGUGAACAAAAGACUGACGCCACAGCGCAGAUGAUAAGGAUACGCCCGUAGAACGGCUGAUAGCAUGGAGACAAUGAUGACAGAGAUAUGAAGACUAAGACUAAUUAAGUAUUGUGUCUGGUUAUGUUUCAACACAAGAUGUUACACGCAAGUACGCACCGCCUUGCUCCGGUGGGAGAUCGCUGGCUACGCUAAUGUUCCAGUCACAGAAGGAAGCUCUGCACCCUUGAAGUACGAUAUUUCUCUCCCCUCUUGAAGAGUAAACAAUAGGAACUCAUUAGUUCUUUGAUAUGCGACAAAGUUGAGCUGUUGUUAUGUCUUAGCUCCAUUUAUAUGUUUGUUAUUUUGAUCCAAGAUGGGAUUCCUCAUGUAGCUGAUUUUGUGCACGGUUAAAAAUGGGAUAGGAGAUGUCUCUCCUCUCUUCUGAGUAUAAAGUGCAGCUGGGAUUCUAUUGAGAAGGUCUAUGACUAUCCAUGUGAAGUCACUAAUUCUCGCCAUCUGACCUCUGAUCAGUCUUGCAAUAUUCAUAAGCGAGUACAGUUAUGAUGGUUGUUACACUUGGUGGAGCUUUCUCUGCAUUAGGGAAUAUCAAUCCCCCAGCUGAUAAAAUAUAUAUACUGUUGUUGGGAUUAACAUCACUAUCCAACUUAAACUAACAGAAAGCAAGUAUCUUCUACUGUUCAAGAUGAUGACCUCUUUGCGCUGCUAGACUCCAAUGGGAAACACACAAGAUUGUUAAGUGACUUGUGCAAAUUUUAUAGAGAAAGCAAGAAAACUUUGAUCUAAACAUGGUUAAGAAGUUCCAAUUUUUAUUCAAUUUUUUUUAUUGUUGUUGGUUUUUAGGAGUGUUACCUUCAUGAGUCGGUGAGCUUCAUGGAAGCUGGACGGUCUGAUCUAUAAAUAUAAGAAAGGGGUUGUUCGGGUGGGGACUCAGGGAAUAUGCGUCGGCCAUAAGCUCAUGUAUGAAGCCCUCAAACGUCAUAUUAUAUAACUUUAAUCUUCACAGGAAAAUAAAGAAUUGUAGAUGGAACGGGAGCAAUCCAUGGGUGAAUCCAUGGGUGAGAUUUUCACCUGUGUCUAUGGCUUGGACGAUAGAUGUAGACAAAGUUUUAGAACUGUCUAAAUGCAAAACUUAGGUAAAAUAACAUAACAAUGAAAACUAUCUAUCGUUUUCUCUUUUAGUCUAGGUUGUUGGCAAAGCUAUAAAAUUUCCGAUUAAUAGAUUUGAUAACAUUCAAUAGUAAAUGAUAAAGAAUAAAAUUGAAUUAGUAGAUUAUUGAGACUUUAGAGAAAAAAAAAGCACCACACAUUAGGAUCAUAAUUA